CUGCGGCCAAUUAAGCUGACUGAGUUCCUUUCCUCAUGGGGGCCCAGUGUGCAAUGGCUGCAAACAGCAGCUUCCCUGGUAGUGAUGUAGCCUGUUUGUUGUAUGGUUUGCUCUAAGGGACCUUGGAGACAGUC
rnacentral:snoRNA from 1 species